rnacentral:rRNA from 1 species
CUACGGGAGGCAGCAGUGAGGAAUAUUGCACAAUGGGGGGAACCCUGAUGCGGCAACGCCGCGUGGAGGAUGACGCAUUUCGGUGUGUAAACUCCUUUUAUAUGUCAAGAAAAUGACGGUAGCAUAUGAAUAAGCACCGGCUAACUCCGUGCCAGCAGCCGCGGUAAUACGGAGGGUGCAAGCGUUACUCGGAAUCACUGGGCGUAAAGGACGCGUAGGCGGGCUUGUAAGUCAGGUGUGAAAUCCUACAGCUUAACUGUAGAACUGCACUUGAAACUACGAGCCUAGAGUAUGGGAGGGGGAGAUAGAAGUAGUGGUGUAGGGGUAAAAUCCGUAGAUAUCACUAGGAAUACCUAAAGCGAAGGCGAUCUCCUGGAACAUAACUGACGCUAAGGCGUGAAAGCGUGGGGAGCAAACAGGAUUAGAUACCCCCGUAGUC